rnacentral:rRNA from 1 species
AGCUUGCUGCUUCGCUGACGAGUGGCGGACGGGUGAGUAAUGUCUGGGAAACUGCCUGAUGGAGGGGGAUAACUACUGGAAACGGUAGCUAAUACCGCAUAACGUCGCAAGACCAAAGAGGGGGACCUUCGGGCCUCUUGCCAUCGGAUGUGCCCAGAUGGGAUUAGCUAGUAGGUGGGGUAACGGCUCACCUAGGCGACGAUCCCUAGCUGGUCUGAGAGGAUGACCAGCCACACUGGAACUGAGACACGGUCCAGACUCCUACGGGAGGCAGCAGUGGGGAAUAUUGCACAAUGGGCGCAAGCCUGAUGCAGCCAUGCCGCGUGUAUGAAGAAGGCCUUCGGGUUGUAAAGUACUUUCAGCGGGGAGGAAGGGAGUAAAGUUAAUACCUUUGCUCAUUGACGUUACCCGCAGAAGAAGCACCGGCUAACUCCGUGCCAGCAGCCGCGGUAAUACGGAGGGUGCAAGCGUUAAUCGGAAUUACUGGGCGUAAAGCGCACGCAGGCGGUUUGUUAAGUCAGAUGUGAAAUCCCCGGGCUCAACCUGGGAACUGCAUCUGAUACUGGCAAGCUUGAGUCUCGUAGAGGGGGGUAGAAUUCCAGGUGUAGCGGUGAAUGCGUAGAGAUCUGGAGGAUACCGGUGGCGAGCGCUCCUGGACGAAGACUGACGCCUCAGGUGCSAAAGGCGGGGGGGGGAGCA